CUGCAGAUGUGCCUGGAACAGUGAGGGGAAAUCAUCGAAUCACCAUCCGUGAGUAAUCAGAAGAUGUGCAGAUUAGGUACGGUUCAGUUCAAUCCAUUAUCACUGGAGAUUUUGGUAUGAGACGCGCGUCUGCCAAGUUUGUGCCAAAACUGCUUUCAACUGACCAAAAAAGACACUUAGGUUUCAGUUGCACAUGAUCUCCUUGAUUAUGUCGAGAACGAUUAAAAGUUUUUGAAAACGUAGCAUAAAACUCUGAGA